rnacentral:rRNA from 1 species
GAGUUUGAUCAUGGCUCAGAUUGAACGCUGGCGGCAUGCCUUACACAUGCAAGUCGAACGGCAGCACGGGUGCUUGCACCUGGUGGCGAGUGGCGAACGGGUGAGUAAUACAUCGGAACAUGUCCUGUAGUGGGGGAUAGCCCAGCGAAAGCCGGAUUAAUACCGCAUACGAUCUACGGAUGAAAGCGGGGGACCUUCGGGCCUCGCGCUAUAGGGUUGGCCGAUGGCUGAUUAGCUAGUUGGUGGGGUAAAGGCCUACCAAGGCGACGAUCAGUAGCUGGUCUGAGAGGACGACCAGCCACACUGGGACUGAGACACGGCCCAGACUCCUACGGGAGGCAGCAGUGGGGAAUUUUGGACAAUGGGCGAAAGCCUGAUCCAGCAAUGCCGCGUGUGUGAAGAAGGCCUUCGGGUUGUAAAGCACUUUUGUCCGGAAAGAAAUCCUUGGCUCUAAUACAGUCGGGGGAUGACGGUACCGGAAGAAUAAGCACCGGCUAACUACGUGCCAGCAGCCGCGGUAAUACGUAGGGUGCGAGCGUUAAUCGGAAUUACUGGGCGUAAAGCGUGCGCAGGCGGUUUGCUAAGACCGAUGUGAAAUCCCCGGGCUCAACCUGGGAACUGCAUUGGUGACUGGCAGGCUAGAGUAUGGCAGAGGGGGGUAGAAUUCCACGUGUAGCAGUGAAAUGCGUAGAGAUGUGGAGGAAUACCGAUGGCGAAGGCAGCCCCCUGGGCCAAUACUGACGCUCAUGCACGAAAGCGUGGGGAGCAAACAGGAUUAGAUACCCUGGUAGUCCACGCCCUAAACGAUGUCAACUAGUUGUUGGGGAUUCAUUUCCUUAGUAACGUAGCUAACGCGUGAAGUUGACCGCCUGGGGAGUACGGUCGCAAGAUUAAAACUCAAAGGAAUUGACGGGGACCCGCACAAGCGGUGGAUGAUGUGGAUUAAUUCGAUGCAACGCGAAAAACCUUACCUACCCUUGACAUGGUCGGAAUCCCGCUGAGAGGUGGGAGUGCUCGAAAGAGAACCGGCGCACAGGUGCUGCAUGGCUGUCGUCAGCUCGUGUCGUGAGAUGUUGGGUUAAGUCCCGCAACGAGCGCAACCCUUGUCCUUAGUUGCUACGCAAGAGCACUCUAAGGAGACUGCCGGUGACAAACCGGAGGAAGGUGGGGAUGACGUCAAGUCCUCAUGGCCCUUAUGGGUAGGGCUUCACACGUCAUACAAUGGUCGGAACAGAGGGUUGCCAACCCGCGAGGGGGAGCUAAUCCCAGAAAACCGAUCGUAGUCCGGAUUGCACUCUGCAACUCGAGUGCAUGAAGCUGGAAUCGCUAGUAAUCGCGGAUCAGCAUGCCGCGGUGAAUACGU